rnacentral:rRNA from 1 species
GUAGGGAAUCUUCCACAAUGGACGCAAGUCUGAUGGAGCAACGCCGCGUGAGUGAAGAAGGUUUUCGGAUCGUAAAGCUCUGUUGUUGGUGAAGAAGGAUAGAGGCAGUAACUGGUCUUUAUUUGACGGUAAUCAACCAGAAAGUCACGGCUAACUACGUGCCAGCAGCCGCGGUAAUACGUAGGUGGCAAGCGUUGUCCGGAUUUAUUGGGCGUAAAGCGAGCGCAGGCGGAAUGAUAAGUCUGAUGUGAAAGCCCACGGCUCAACCGUGGAACUGCAUCGGAAACUGUCAUUCUUGAGUGCAGAAGAGGAGAGUGGAACUCCAUGUGUAGCGGUGGAAUGCGUAGAUAUAUGGAAGAACACCAGUGGCGAAGGCGGCUCUCUGGUCUGCAACUGACGCUGAGGCUCGAAAGCAUGGGUAGCGAACAGGAUUAGAUACCCGUGUAGUCC